rnacentral:rRNA from 1 species
UGGGGAAUAUUGGACAAUGGGCGAAAGCCUGAUCCAGCCAUGCCGCGUGUGUGAAGAAGGUCUUCGGAUUGUAAAGCACUUUAAGUUGGGAGGAAGGGCAUUAACCUAAUACGUUAGUGUUUUGACGUUACCGACAGAAUAAGCACCGGCUAACUCUGUGCCAGCAGCCGCGGUAAUACAGAGGGUGCAAGCGUUAAUCGGAAUUACUGGGCGUAAAGCGCGCGUAGGUGGUUUGUUAAGUUGGAUGUGAAAUCCCCGGGCUCAACCUGGGAACUGCAUUCAAAACUGACUGACUAGAGUAUGGUAGAGGGUGGUGGAAUUUCCUGUGUAGCGGUGAAAUGCGUAGAUAUAGGAAGGAACACCAGUGGCGAAGGCGACCACCUGGACUAAUACUGACACUGAGAUGCGAAAGCGUGGGGAGCAAACA